ensembl:lncRNA
GGCUCCUCGUUGUCUCCUCGAAUGGAAUUCCUGGGAAUUCCAGGCCCCAUAGAUUGUUAUCAGAGCCAAAGACCCUCAGCCAGAGGAUUGUGUUCCGACCAAGCAAGUCACACUGUUCUGGAUAUUGAUGAAUCACUUUCAAUUUGCAGUCCUUGUGAGAUUAUUCAUUUAUUCAUUUUAAGGUUCCAAUCAACCAGAGGUGGUUUAAAUGUUUGUGAACGUGUCAUCAGUCUCUCAGUUGUGUAUUGUUUUGAAACUGGCAGGAACAACUACCAGGACAGAACACGAGGAAUCAAUCCGGCACACGAUGGAGGAUUUGUGAGCAGUAAUUAAAGAUUGACUUCUUGAAGAACAGAAGGGCUCAAGACUGAGAACCACAGAACAUAUUCAAAGAAAUCAAUAGAAUAUUUGUUUUGACCCAAUAUCGUGUUUGUAAUGAUGUAUUGAUAUGGAAAGUAUGACUCCCAACCACUAGGUGGAGGCACCUGCGGUGCAUAAACAGAGCAUCUAGGAUCGGGUGAGAGAAAGACUACGAGAAUGCUAUUACAUGUUUAUUACAUGUUCACCUAUUUACCG